rnacentral:tRNA from 1 species
UAAAAGAUGGCUGAGUUUAAAGGCAUAAGAUUGUAAAUCUUAUUACGGGUAUUUCUCUCUUUUAA